rnacentral:rRNA from 1 species
UACGUAGGUGGCAAGCGUUGUCCGGAUUUAUUGGGCGUAAAGCGCACGCAGGCGGUUUGGCAAGUCCGAUGUGAAAUCCCUCGGCUUAACUGGGAGGAGUCAUCGGAUACUGGCCGGCUUGAGGAAGGUAGAGGAGAGUAGAAUUCCCGGUGUAGUGGUGGAAUGCGUAGAUAUCGGGAGGAAUACCAGUGGCGAAGGCGGCUCUCUGGGCCUUUCCUGACGCUGAGGUGCGAAAGCGUGGGGAGCGAACCGG